rnacentral:rRNA from 1 species
GACGAACGCUGGCCGCGUGCUUAACACAUGCAAGUCGAACGGAAAGGCCCUGCUUUUGUGGGGUGCUCGAGUGGCGACCGGGUGAGUAACCCGUGAGUAACCUGCCAUUGCCUUUGGGGUAACUUCAUGCAGCUGGGGGUCAUACCAGCAAGGAGCUCCUGCUGCAUGGUGGGGGCUGGUAAGUUUCGGCGGUUGGGAAUGGACUAGCGGCCUAUCAGCUUGUUGGUGGGGUAGUGGCUUACCAAGGCUUUGACGGGUAGCCGGGCUGAGCGGGGGACAGGCCCCACUGGGACGGGGAUACGGCCCGGACUCCUACGGGAGGCAGCAGUGGGGAAGAGUGCACAAUGGGCGGAAGGCUAAUGCAGCAACGCCGUGUGGGGGAAGACGGCCUUCGGGUUGGAAUGCGCAUUCGCCUGUGACGAAGCGUGAGUGACGGUAACGGGUGAAGAAGCACCGGCUAACUACGUG